UAGCGUAGGGUGCAAGCGUUAAUCGGAAUUAGCUGGGCGUAAGCGUGCGCAGGCGGUUAUGUAAGACAGAAUGUGGAAAUGCCCGGGCUUAACCUGGGAACUGCAUUUGUGACUGCAUGGCUAGAGUUUGGCAGAGGGGGGUAGAAUUCCACGUGUAGCAGUGAAAUGCGUAGAUAUGUGGAGGAACACCGAUGGCGAAGGCAGCCCCCUGGGUCAAGACUGACGCUCAUGCACGAAAGCGUGGGGAGCAAACAGG
rnacentral:rRNA from 1 species